rnacentral:rRNA from 1 species
CGCCUGCCCGGUGCCGGAAGGUUAAUUGAUGGGGUUAGACUUCGGUCGAAGCUCUUGAUCGAAGCCCCGGUAAACGGCGGCCGUAACUAUAACGGUCCUAAGGUAGCGAAAUUCCUUGUCGGGUAAGUUCCGACCUGCACGAAUGGCGUAAUGAUGGCCACGCUGUCUCCACCCGAGACUCAGUGAAAUUGAAAUCGCUGUGAAGAUGCAGUGUACCCGCGGCUAGACGGAAAGACCCCGUGAACCUUUACUACAGCUUGGCACUGAACAUUGACCCUACAUGUGUAGGAUAGGUGGGAGGCUUUGAAGCACGUACGCCAGUAUGUGUGGAGCCGUCCUUGAAAUACCACCCUUGUAGUGUUGAUGUUCUAACGUCGACCCCUUAUCGGGGUUGCGGACAGUGCCUGGUGGGUAGUUUGACUGGGGCGGUCUCCUCCCAAAGAGUAACGGAGGAGCACGAAGGUGGGCUAAUCACGGUUGGACAUCGUGAGGUUAGUGCAAUGGCAUAAGCCCGCUUGACUGCGAGAAUGACAAUUCGAGCAGGUGCGAAAGCAGGUCAUAGUGAUCCGGUGGUUCUGAAUGGAAGGGCCAUCGCUCAACGGAUAAAAGGUACUCCGGGGAUAACAGGCUGAUACCGCCCAAGAGUUCAUAUCGACGGCGGUGUUUGGCACCUCGAUGUCGGCUCAUCACAUCCUGGGGCUGAAGUCGGUCCCAAGGGUAUGGCUGUUCGCCAUUUAAAGUGGUACGCGAGCUGGGUUUAGAACGUCGUGAGACAGUUCGGUCCCUAUCUGCCGUGGGCGUUGGAAGAUUGAAGGGGGCUGCUCCUAGUACGAGAGGACCGGAGUGGACGAACCUCUGGUGUUCGGGUUGUGUCGCCAGACGCAUUGCCCGGUAGCUAAGUUCGGAAUCGAUAACCGCUGAAAGCAUCUAAGCGGGAAGCGAGCCCUGAGAUGAGUCUUCCCUGAUACUUUAAGUAUCCUAAAGGGUUGUCGGAGACUACGACGUUGAUAGGUCAGGUGUGUAAGUGCUGUGAGGCAUUGAGCUAACUGAUACUAAUUGCCCGUGAGGCUUAACCAU